GCACUCAAGACCCUGGGAGGAUCAAAGAGGCUGAUGUGACAGUUCAUGAAGCGAGGAGGAAGCAAACCAUCCCCCACUGCCAACACUAACACAGCCCUGUGCUUGAGAGUCUGGGAGAACCCAGUUGCCAAGUGUCUGCCUGCAUUUUCUCUGAGGCGGCCAGGCCCAGAGCAAGUCAGGAAAAUUACGGCUUUUAUCAAGCAGACAGUAUGGCUCUCUUUGAGGAUGGCCAAAGUCUCAGUCAUUGCUGGUAACUGCAACACAUGUGGUCUUUUCAAGAGGGACAGGAGUAUUUUCAUUGACUGGGAGAGAAGCUGCCUGCAUGAGACUUCAUUUAUUUGGAAUAUACGAGGGCAAGGCAAAAAGAGGUGACACUGAACCAGCUAACUCUGGGUACCAGUAACAUACAUGUCACUACCAUCGCGUUCGGGCUUCGCUGGUGGCUCAGCAGUAGAGAAUCUGCCUGCCAAAGCAGGAGACGUGGCUUCAAUCCCUGGGUGAGGAAGAUCUCCCAGAGAAGGAAAUGGGAACCCACAUCAGUAUGCUGCCUGGCAAAUCCCAUGGACAGAGGAACCUGAGCUAAACAAAGGCUCAGUCUCUGAAUUUCCAGAUGCACUUAAAAUGAAAUAAUGAUGUGGGUCCAGUCUUGCCCUACUUUAAAUUAAUUACUCCAGGAAGAGACAUUAAACCUUUCAGACCACCAGUGUGCAUAAAUCCUUUAGUACCCGAGACCAUACAUCCUCUCUUGAUUAUCUGGGACACAAAGAAAGUAGUUGGGACUGCCAGAGCCAAAACAUGGAUCCAGAGAAAUAAUGGAAGGUUGGCAAAAAGACACGUGGCUAACACAAAUCAAAUCAAAAUGGGAUAAACAAGAAGAUCUAGAAACUAAUUUGAAAUUGAAGAAAAUAGUCUAACAGAGUCAAGAAAAUUCACUUAAUUAAA